GUGGCAACCACCUCAAGUCUUUUGGAAGCUGUGUUCUUUUGCUGUUUGUGGUAUUGCUGCUGUCUGCUCUUUGGGUCCAUACUGCUUUUAUGAGUUAUAGUACCACAAAGGUUUGCAGCUUCACUCCUGAAGUCAGGGAGAGCUGGAACCCACAGGGGGGAACGAACAACUCUAGAAGUGCUGCCUUAAGAGCUGUAACUCUCACCGCAAAGGCCUGCAGCUUCACUACUGAGCUAGUGAGACCACGAACCCACCAGAAUGAAAAAACUCUGAACACGUCUGAAUAUCAGAAGGAACAAACUCUGGACACGCUGCCUUUAAGAACUGUAACGCUCAUCGCGGGGGUCUGUGGCUUCAUUCUCGUAGUCAGUGAGAUGAAGAACCCACUAAUUCCGGACACAAUAUGAUACGGAGGUGGUUAAAUUACGUGGCCCAAUCAAGGGUGGGUCAGCCGAACUGCAGUGAGGACUUGGGUCAGCUUGGUGAAGUUCACGUUUGGGCUUUAUCCUCUCCCUGGAAUUUUGUGUCUCCCAGGCAAUUUCUGUUGCCUGUGCUUUUGAGUGAAAGGGUCUCGUCUGUCACCCAGGCUGGAGUCCAGUGGCACGAUCACAGCUCACUGCAGCCUCAACCAACCAGGCUCAAGCAAUCCUCCUACCUCAGCCUCCCGAGUAGCUGGGACUAACAGGUAGGCACCAUCAUGCUCGGCUACUUUUUGUAUUUUCUUUUUUAUAGAGGUGGGGUUUUGCCAUGUUGCCCAG
rnacentral:lncRNA from 1 species